GCGUAAUGAUGGCCAGGCUGUCUCCACCCGAGACUCAGUGAAAUUGAACUCGCUGUGAAGAUGCAGUGUACCCGCGGCAAGACGGAAAGACCCCGUGAACCUUUACUAUAGCUUGACACUGAACAUUGAGCCUUGAUGUGUAGGAUAGGUGGGAGGCUUUGAAGUGUGGACGCCAGUCUGCAUGGAGCCGACCUUGAAAUACCACCCUUUAAUGUUUGAUGUUCUAACGUGGACCCGUAAUCCGGGUUGCGGACAGUGUCUGGUGGGUAGUUUGACUGGGGCGGUCUCCUCCUAAAGAGUAACGGAGGAGCACGAAGGUUGGCUAAUCCUGGUCGGACAUCAGGAGGUUAGUGCAAUGGCAUAAGCCAGCUUGACUGCGAGCGUGACGGCGCGAGCAGGUGCGAAAGCAGGUCAUAGUGAUCCGGUGGUUCUGAAUGGAAGGGCCAUCGCUCAACGGAUAAAAGGUACUCCGGGGAUAACAGGCUGAUACCGCCCAAGAGUUCAUAUCGACGGCGGUGUUUGGCACCUCGAUGUCGGCUCAUCACAUCCUGGGGCUGAAGUAGGUCCCAAGGGUAUGGCUGUUCGCCAUUUAAAGUGGUACGCGAGCUGGGUUUAGAACGUCGUGAGACAGUUCGGUCCCUAUCUGCCGUGGGCGCUGGAGAACUGAGGGGGGCUGCUCCUAGUACGAGAGGACCGGAGUGGACGCAUCACUGGUGUUCGGGUUGUCAUGCCAAUGGCACU
rnacentral:rRNA from 1 species